AGCAGCCGCGGUAAUUCCAGCUCCAAUAGCGUAUAUUAAAGUUGUUGCAGUUAAAAAGCUCGUAGUUGAAUUUCGGGAUCAAUACGUCGGUCGUGCUUCGGUACGUACUGGCGUCAUUGAUUUCUCCCUUCUGACGUACCAUGAUGUCAUUAACUUGGUGUCAUGGGAAAUCAGGACUGUUACUUUGAAAAAUUAGAGUGUUUAAAGCAGGCUCACGCUUGAAUACAUUAGCAUGGAAUAAUGAAAUAGGACGUUCGAUCCUAUUUUGUUGGUUUUAGGAUCAACGUAAUGAUUAAUAGGGAUAGUUGGGGGCAUUAGUAUUCAAUUGUCAGAGUGAAAUUCUUGGAUUUAUUGAAGACUAACUACUGCG
rnacentral:rRNA from 1 species